GAACGCCUUUCCUCACAACUGGAAAGCCAAUUCCCUUGGAAUGAGCAAACUCGCACCCCUGAGCCUCCCUCGGGAGCCCCACCCUGACAGACAUACCCCAGCCCCCGGUGCGGAGCCCACGCAGGACAGUCCUGGGCGGUGUGGCCAUACUGAAAAUGCUGUCUGCUUUUCUCAUCUCUUGGAUUGCUGUGUUGGGAUGAGGAGCUGAACUCACCCUUAUAGGGGCUGCCAGAACCAGGACAGGAGAAAUGGGCCAGGAGAAAAAAAGUGUUUUUGACGUCUGCCUCUCACAGCAAGUCAACCCCAGGUGCACAAGAAAGUGAAUUUUCCCUCGCAGCUACUGGAUUAACUGCUGUUCCUAGGACUUUUUAUAUCUUCCACCUUGUCUGGGACCAGCUCACCUCUUCCACUAUUUGUCGAGACAGAGAAACAAACAUCUGGACUCUGCAAGCACUGAAGUCUGACUGUUGGUGUUUCAACCACUGUGUUAAAGAGGAGUGGAG